UUAUGGGACAUAUUGGAGUGCCAACAAAAGAAGUUUGUCAAAGGGUUGAGUAUCAUCUGUGGGGCAUCUCACAAUGGAAUCUGAUGGGUGACUGGGUGGUACUGCUUCCCUCUGCAGUUUUCUGUGGGAAUGAGCUGGUAGACACAACAUACACUGAUUUUGCAAAACAUUAAGGACACCUGCUCUUUUCAUGACAUAGACUGACCAGCUGAACCCAGGUGAAAACUAUAACCCUUAAUGAUGUAGUUGUUAUUGUAUUUAUUUUGGAUACCCAUUAGCUUUCAGUAGAAAACAAGAUGUUGCAGUGGGCUAAGGAAUGAAAACACUGGAGAAUUUUAAAAACAUUGCCUGGUCUGAUGAAUCCCUGUUCCUGCUGUUUCACGCUGAUGGGAGGAAACCACGAGUACAACAUUGCAGGCUGGUGGUGGUAUGAUGGUGUGUUUUCAUGCCACAUAUUGGGCCCCUUGAUAAAAGUGGAGCAACGUUUGUGUAAAGAUCAUUGCCAAUCAGGUGCAUCCCUUCAUGGUGGCAGUGUAUCCAUCUGCAAAUAGAUUUUUUUCAGCAGGAUUACGCCACAAGGCUUGUCUAGAACUGAUUCCAAGAACAUGACAGGGAAUUCAGCUUAAUGCAGUGGCCUGCCGAGUCACCAGAUCUCAAUCCAAUUGUGCAUCUGUGGGAGGAGAUGGAUCAAGCUAUUCGGAGUAGAGAUCCACUCCCAGCCAACUUGACACAAUUGUGGGAAGCAUUGGAGUCAACAUGGGCCAGCAUCCAUGUGGAACGUUCUCAACACCUUGGAGUCCAUACCCCGACGAAUUGAGGCUGUUCUGAGGACAAAAGGAGGUAUAACUCAAUAUUAGGAAGUCGUUCAUAAUGUUUUGUGCACUCAGUGUAUAUCAGAUAAAGAUGUUGUGGUGAUCACUUUUCAGCAUUAGUUUGGGUGGAUUAUUUUAUAUUACUAAACAAUUUUGUUUAAUGAUAAACAGGCUAUGAAUCGACUACUUGUGUUUAUUAAUUUGUCUUUUAAUACUAGAUUCAUUAUUUUAGUCAUUGAUGAUGAAUGUAUUUGAAUAACUGUAUUGAAGUUAAUUGAUCUGGCGGCAGGUAGCCUAGCGGCUAAGAGUGUUGGGCCAGUAACUGAAAGAUUGCUGGUUUGAAUCCCGAGCCGACUAAGUGAAAAAUCUGUCAUUGUGCCCUUGAGCAAGCCAAUACACUCUUUUUGUCCUGUAAGUCUCUCUGGAUAAAAACAUCUGCUAAAUGACAAGAAUGUAAUGAAAAAUAAUGUUUGUACAUGAAUUCAUGCUGGGCAGCCACUUUUUUCUCAUGUGUAUAAUUAAAUGAAAUAAACUGAUUUUAGUUAAAUACUGUA